CUUACACAUGCAGUCGAGGGGCACAUAAGUAGCAAUAUUUGAUGGCGACCGGCGCACGGGUGAGUAACGCGUAUGCAACCUACCUUUAACCGGGGGAUAGCCCAUGGAAACGUGGAUUAAUACCCUAUAAUACUUAAUAAUGGCAUCAUUAAUAAGUUAAAACUACGGUGGUAAAAGAUGGGCAUGCGUGCCAUUAGCUAGUUGGUAAGGUAACGGCUUACCAAGGCGAUGAUGGCUAGGGGGUCUUAAAGGAUAAUCCCCCACACUGGUACUGAGACACGGACCAGACUCCUACGGGAGGCAGCAGUGAGGAAUAUUGGUCAAUGGGCGGAAGCCUGAACCAGCCAUGCCGCGUGCAGGAUGAAGGCCCUAUGGGUCGUAAACUGCUUUUAUGAGAGAAGAAACCUGGUUACGAGUAAUCAGUUGACAGUAUCUUAUGAAUAAGCAUCGGCUAACUCCGUGCCAGCAGCCGCGGUAAUACGGAGGAUGCAGGCGUUAUCCGGAUUUAUUAGGUUUAAAGGGUGCGUAGGCGGGACUAUAAGUCAGUGGUGAAAUCCUGCAGCUUAACUGUAGAACAGCCAUUGAUACUGUAGACCUUGAAUUUAGUUGAAGUAGGCGGAAUGUGUAGUGUAGCGGUGAAAUGCUUAGAUAUUACACAGAACACCAAUUGCGAAGGCAGCUUACUAAGCUAAUAUUGACGCUGAUGCACGAAAGCGUGGGUAGCGAACAGGAUUAGAUACCCUGGUAGUCCACGCCGUAAACGAUGAUAACUCGUUGUUGGGCGAUACACAGUCAGCGACUGAGCGAAAGCAUUAAGUUAUCCACCUGGGGAGUACGGUCGCAAGACUG
rnacentral:rRNA from 1 species